rnacentral:rRNA from 1 species
CCCCUGGACGAAGACUGACGCUCAGGUGCGAAAGCGUGGGGAGCAAACAGGAUUAGAUACCCUGGUAGUCCACGCCGUAAACGAUGUCGACUUGGAGGUUGUGCCCUUGAAGUGUGGCUUCCGGAGCUAACGCGUUAAGUCGACCGCCUGGGGAGUACGGCCGCAAGGUUAAAACUCAAAUGAAUUGACGGGGGCCCGCACAAGCGGUGGAGCAUGUGGUU